rnacentral:lncRNA from 1 species
AUAUUUCUAUUUAUCCUGCAAUUGGGUGUCCUACUAUACAGAUACAGCCCUACAGAUAUCGCUAUGCUGUAUCUGUAUACUAUACAGAUAUCGCUUUUAAAGCUCCGCCCACUGCCGGACUGAGUAUUGUUUGAACCUGUGUGACCUCAGAAUGUGUAUUCCAGUUGCAUUCCAAUGACGAUGACAAUUGUCGAUUUCAAAACUUGAAUGUGUAUGAUUGUGUUACAAAAUCAACCAUGUCAAUUUCAGCAUGCAUGUUUAGUGAAUGUCAAGUCUGAAGCGUAGGACAACUCGUACACUUCUGUUUCAAAUUUGACAAUGUUUUGUUAUUUGUUUUUACUGUUGAAAUUAGUUGUUAUGUUAAAAUAGAU